rnacentral:rRNA from 1 species
UACGUAGGGAGCGAGCGUUGUCCGGAAUCAUUGGGCGUAAAGCGCGCGUAGGCGGCCUCGUAAGUCCGUUGUGAAAGUCAAAGGCUCAACCUUUGAAAGCCGAUGGAUACUGUGAGGCUAGAGUCCGGAAGAGGCGAGUGGAAUUCCUGGUGUAGCGGUGGAAUGCGCAGAUAUCAGGAGGAACACCAAUAGCGAAGGCAGCUCGCUGGGACGGUACUGACGCUAAGGCGCGAAAGCGUGGGGAGCGAACAGG